AAAGAAAGAAAGAAACUGGUAGUCUGUCAAGGAAAUGAGCUGAACAUGUCUGUGUACAGCUUUUGUGCCAUCCCUGGAUGAGCGAGCUGUCUGCCUCUAUGUUCUCCACAAAAUGGAAUAUAGCUGUACACCCAAGCCAAGGUCAGUCACAGCGGCAAGGACCCUAUCUUUAUUUUUUAUAUGAAUUUUUAAAAGAUUUAUUCAUUUAUUUUAUGUAUGUGAGUACAUUGUAGUUAUCUUCAGAUAAACCAGAAGAGGGUACCAGAUCUCAUUAAAGAUGGUUGUGAGCCACCAUGUGAUUGCUGGGAAUUGAACUCAAGACCUCUGGAAGAGCAGUCAAUGCUCUUAUCUGCUGAGCCAUCUCUCUAGCCCCAGAACACUAUCUUUACACAUGGCAAGGCAAUGUGAUAGAAGAAUUGUGCAUACUGAGACAUAGCAAAGGCCUGUUUAGCAUAGCAUUCACCUUGGAACACCCAUUCCUUCUUUGACCUAUUAGGAAGAGGGAAACAUUUUUCUAUGAUACGGAAGCUAAGGUUACUAGCUAUCUUUGUUAUAAUUAUGGAGGCUGGGAAGACCUAGAAUGUGGCAUCACUAUUUGGUAAGAACCUUCCUAUGUCAUUGUAGAGUGAGGGACUUGGGUACCACAUGGCAAGGCAUAGUACCCAAAUCCCUUUCCUUCAUAAAAGUAUUAAUGUCAUCAAAGAGGCCCCACCACCAUGAUGCCAUCUGGGGCCUCAUGACCCCAAUGCCUGAUGCCAAAGACUCCCACCUCAAAAUACUUUUUUCUUCAGCAUAACAUUUUAUUAAUUAUCUGGGA
rnacentral:lncRNA from 1 species